rnacentral:rRNA from 1 species
GCGGCGUGCUACACAUGCAGUCGAGCGGGGAAGAGGAAGGAGCUUGCUCCAUCCAAAUUCCAGCGGCGGACGGGUGAGUAACGCGUGGAUAAUCUGCCUUUGACAGGGGGAUAACGCUGGGAAACCGGCGCUAAUACCGCAUAACGCCGAGAGAUGGCAUCACCGCUCGGCCAAAAGGAGUAACAUCUGGUCAAAGAUGAGUCCGCGUCCGAUUAGCUAGUUGGAGGUGUAAGAGACCCCCAAGGCGACGAUCGGUAGCCGAACUGAGAGGUUGAACGGCCACAUUGGGACUGAGACACGGCCCAGACUCCUACGGGAGGCAGCAGUGGGGAAUAUUGCUCAAUGGACGAAAGUCUGAAGCAGCGACGCCGCGUGAAGGAUGAAGGUUUUCGGAUUGUAAACUUCUUUGAUUGGGGACGAAGGAAGUGACGGUACCCAAAAAACAAGCCACGGCUAACUACGUGCCAGCAGCCGCGGUAAUACGUAGGUGGCGAGCGUUGUCCGGAAUUACUGGGUGUAAAGGGCGUGUAGGCGGGAUUAUAAGUCAGAUGUGAAAUAUCAAGGCUCAACCUUGGGAUUGCAUCUGAAACUAUGAUUCUUGAGUGCUGGAGAGGAAAGCGGAAUUCCUAGUGUAGCGGUGAAAUGCGUAGAUAUUAGGAGGAACACCAGUGGCGAAGGCGGCUUUCUGGACAGUAACUGACGCUGAGGCGCGAAAGCGUGGGGAGCAAACAGGAUUAGAUACCCUGGUAGUCCACGCCGUAAACGAUGGAUACUAGGUGUAGGGGGUAUCGACCCCCUCUGUGCCGGAGUAAACACAAUAAGUAUCCCACCUGGGGAGUACGGCCGCAAGGUUGAAACUCAAAGGAAUUGACGGGGGCCCGCACAAGCAGUGGAGUAUGUGGUUUAAUUCGAAGCAACGCGAAGAACCUUACCAGGGCUUGACAUCCCGUGAAUAGCGUAGAGAUACGCGAAGCCCUUCGGGGCACGGAGACAGGUGGUGCAUGGUUGUCGUCAGCUCGUGUCGUGAGAUGUUGGGUUAAGUCCCGCAACGGGCGCAACCCUUGUUGUCAGUUGCCAUCAUUAAGUUGGGCACUCUGGCAAUACUGCCGGUGACAAAUCGGAGGAAGGUGGGGACGAGGUCAAAUCAUCAUGCCCCUUAUGUCCUGGGCUACACACGUACUACAAUGGCAAUAACAGAGGGAAGCAAGGGAGUAAUCCGGAGCGAAUCCCCAAAGAUUGUCUCAGUUCGGAUUGUGGGCUGAAACCCGCCCACAUGAAGUCGGAAUUGCUAGUAAUGGCAGGUCAGCAUACUGCCGUGAAUACGUUCCCGGGCCUUGUACACACCGCCCGUCACACCAUGAGAGUCUGCAACACCCGAAGUCAGUAGUCUAACCGCCAAGGGGGGCGCUGCCGAAGGUGGGCCCCGAGAAUGG